rnacentral:rRNA from 1 species
GACAGAGGAUGCAAGCGUUAUCCGGAAUGAUUGGGUGUAAAGCGUCUGUAGGUGGCUUUUUAAGUCCGCCGUCAAAUCCCAGGCUCAACCCUGGACAGGCGGUGGGAAACUACCAAGCUGGAGUACGGUAGGGGGCAGAGGGAAUUUCCGGUGGAGCGGUGAAAUGCGUAGAGAUCGGAAAGAACACCAACGGCGAAAGCAUUCUGCUGGGCCGACACUGACACUGGAGAGACGAAAGCUAGGGGAGCGAAUGGG